rnacentral:rRNA from 1 species
AUUGAACGCUGGCGGAAUGCUUUACACAUGCAAGUCGAACGGCAGCAUAGAGAGCUUGCUCUCUGAUGGCGAGUGGCGAACGGGUGUGUAUUAUAUCGGAACGUACCCAGUAAUGGGGGAUAACGAAUCGAAAGAUUCGCUAAUACCGCAUACGCCCUACGGGGGAAAGCGGGGGAUCGUAAGACCUCGCGUUAUUGGAGCGGCGCAUAUCUGAUUAGCUAGUUGGUGAGGUAAAGGCUCACCAAGGCGACGAUCAGUAGCUGGUCUGAGAGGACGACCAGCCACACUGGAACUGAGACACGGUCCAGACUCCUACGGGAGGCAGCAGUGGGGAAUUUUGGACAAUGGGGGGAACCCUGAUCCAGCCAUUCCGCGUGAGUGAAGAAGGCCUUCGGGUUGUAAAGCUCUUUCGCAAGGGAAGAAAACUUACUUACUAAUACUAGGUGAGGCUGACGGUACCUUGAUAAGAAGCACCGGCUAACUACGUGCCAGCAGCCGCCGUAAUAC